AUAUAAUAAUAAAACAGAUAUAUGGUCUCUUGGCUGUGUGUUAUAUGAGUUGUGUACUUUAAAGCAUCCUUUUGAAGGCAACAAUUUGCCCCAACUUAUAAUGAAGAUCUGCAGAGGCCAUUUCAUUCCUGUGUCUGUGAAGUAUUCUUCCGAUCUGAGAUUGUUAAUAUCCCAGUUGUUUAGAACUUCUCCAAGAGAUCGCCCUUCUAUUAACUCUAUU